rnacentral:snoRNA from 1 species
UCGUGCCAGUGAUGAUUAAAGAGCUAGUAAUGGUGAAUUCGAUGAAUGUGCUCGCGUGCUACUGGACGCGCAGUUGUGGUGAUAUGCAUUCUUACGCAGUUUAUCUGAGGCGCGC